CGGUUCCUACGGGGGGCAGCAGUGAGGAAUAUUGGUCAAUGGCCGGAAGGCUGAACCAGCCAAGCCGCGUGAAGGACGAAGGUCCCAAGCAUUGUAACCUUCUUUUGUCAAGGGACAAAAUCAGGCUCGAGAGCCUGACCGAGGGUACUUGAAGAAAAAGCAUCGGCUAACUCCGUGCCAGCAGCCGCGGUAAUACGGAGGAUGCGAGCGUUAUCCGGUUUUAUUGGGUUUAAAGGGUGCGUAGGCGGACUGUUAAGUCAGCGGUAACAGCCGGGG
rnacentral:rRNA from 1 species